UGGGGAAUAUUGGACAAUGGGCGAAAGCCUGAUCCAGCCAUGCCGCGUGUGUGAAGAAGGCCUUUUGGUUGUAAAGCACUUUAAGUGGGGAGGAAAAGCUUAUGGUUAAUACCCAUAAGCCCUGACGUUACCCACGGAAUAAGCACCGGCUAACUCUGUGCCAGCAGCCGCGGUAAUACAGAGGGUGCAAGCGUUAAUCGGAAUUACUGGGCGUAAAGCGCGCGUAGGUGGUUAUUUAAGUCAGAUGUGAAAGCCCCGGGCUUAACCUGGGAACUGCAUCUGAUACUGGAUAACUAGAGUAGGUGAGAGGGGAGUAGAAUUCCAGGUGUAGCGGUGAAAUGCGUAGAGAUCUGGAGGAAUACCGAUGGCGAAGGCAGCUCCCUGGCAUCAUACUAACACUGAGGUGCGAAAGCGUGGGUAGCAAACAGGAUUAGAUACCCUGGUAGUCCACGCCGUAAACGAUGUCUACCAGUCGUUGGGUCUUUUAAAGACUUAGUGACGCAGUUAACGCAAUAAGUAGACCGCCUGGGGAGUACGGCCGCAAGGUUA
rnacentral:rRNA from 1 species